GCGGAGGGCCGGAUGGCCGCUGGGGCCGCAUGGCCCGAGAGGAAAGUCCGGACUCCACAAGGCAACGGUGCCGGGUAACGCCCGGGCGGGGAAACCCGACGGAAAGCGCCACAGAAAUCAGACCGCCCGGGAUUUCGGUCCAGGGCAAGGGUGAAACGGUGGGGUAAGAGCCCACCGCGCCGCUGGCAACAGCGGUGGCACGGCAAGCCCCACCGGGAGCAAUGCCGAAUAGGGUCCCCGCGCGGGCCGGUCGGUGUGAACCGAUACCGCCGCUAGGCACGCCUUGGCCGAGAGGGACCGGGUUGGCAGCUCGAGCCGCGCAGCAAUGCGCGGCCUAGAGGAAUGGUCAUCGAAGGGGGCAACCCCGGAACAGGAUCCGGCUUACAGGCCCUCCGCGCAU
rnacentral:RNase_P_RNA from 2 species